rnacentral:rRNA from 1 species
UACGUAGGGGGCAAGCGUUGUCCGGAAUCAUUGGGCGUAAAGAGCGUGUAGGCGGCCAGAUAAGUCCGCUGUGAAAUCUCGAGGCUCAACUUCGAGCUGUCGGUGGAAACUGUCUGGCUAGAGUCCGGAAGAGGAGAAUGGAAUUCCUGGUGUAGCGGUGAAAUGCGCAGAUAUCAGGAAGAACACCCGUGGCGAAGGCGGUUCUCUGAGACGGUACUGACGCUGAGACGCGAAAGCGUGGGGAGCGAACAGG